rnacentral:rRNA from 1 species
UACGGGGGGGGCUAGCGUUGUUCGGAAUUACUGGGCGUAAAGGGCGCGUAGGCGGCCUACUAAGUCGGACGUGAAAUCCCUCGGCUCAACCUGGGAACUGCGUCCGAUACUGGUGGGCUCGAAUCCGGGAGAGGGAUGUGGAAUUCCAGGUGUAGCGGUGAAAUGCGUAGAUAUCUGGAGGAACACCGGUGGCGAAGGCGGCAUCCUGGACCGGUAUUGACGCUGAUGCGCGAAAGCCAGGGGAGCAAACGGG